rnacentral:rRNA from 1 species
AACGAACGCUGGCUGCAGGCUUAACACAUGCAAGUCGAACGCACCGCAAGGUGAGUGGCAGACGGGUGAGUAACACGUGGGGAUCUGCCCAAUGGUACGGAAUAGCUCCGGGAAACUGGAAUUAAUACCGUAUGUGCCCUUUGGGGGAAAGAUUUAUCGCCCUUGGAUGCACCCGCGUCGGAUUAGCUAGUUGGUGAGGUAAAGGAGCACCAAGGCGACGAUCCGUAGCUGGUCUGAGAGGAUGAUCAGCCACACUGGGACUGAGACACGGCCCAGACUCCUACGGGAGGCAGCAGUGGGGAAUAUUUGACAAUGGGCGCAGGCCUGAUCCAGCCAUGCCGCGUGAGUGAUGAAGGCCCUAGGGUUGUAAAGCUCUUUCGCCGACGAAGAUAAUGACGGUAGUCGGAGAAGAAGCCCCGGCUAACUUCGUGCCAGCCGCCGCAGUAAGAC